CAUGGGGCACCUUUGCCCCAUGAUUUCAGGGCAUCUUUGGAAAGUGUCCUCUCCCUGCGAGGACUGGAAUCAGCCAUUCGCCUCUGAACGUUUUCACGUGUCCGCUCCCACACACGGAGAGUCCCCCCUGAACUGAAAACCACCUCCUCCGCGGGUUACAGAAUGGGGCUGGUAGUUUGAUGGAAGGAGGGAGAGC